rnacentral:piRNA from 1 species
GGAAAUGUCAGCAUCUUUGUAGA